CUCACACACACAUCGCACCUGGGGGGGAUUUGGAGAGACCAAUUGACCUAACAGUCAUGUUUUUGGACUGUGGGAGGAAGCCGGAGUACUCGGAGAGAACCCACGCAUGCACAGGGAGAACAUGCAUACUCCAUGCAGACUCCAUGCAGAAAGACCC